CUUUCAUACGGGUCGCUUGCAUGCUUCCUUUCCCUCGUUUUCUGCUGUCUUUCUUUUUAUCUCCCGCUAUUUUUCCCCCUCAGUUCCCAUUUCGGCAUUUCCCAAAGUCGCCCAGAUCUCCCCCCAUUCCCUUCUUUCCCUCCAAACCUUUCGAUCUAGCCGGCCUGGCUGAUGUCGGGCACCAGAGCUCCUCCCGCCGCUGCUAGCCCAUCGGAGCAGAUCAUGCGGCGCCAACUUCCCCUCUCCACCAUGAAGCCCCCCUUUGCCGCCUCCGUUGAUUACCACCGCUUUGCCCCCGACCACCUCCACCACAACCGCCGAACUGUUGACCACGAACCCGAAGCCAUCGUUGUUAAGUCUUCCCAAUUGAAGCGGAAGAGUAACACAACAGAUUUUGAAGCUGAUUCUGGUGAUAGGGUGAAUCAUGUAUCCAUGGGAGCAGCUAAUAAUCCUUUUCAGACCCCUAAAUCUGGAAAAAUAGGGAAGGGUGGCAAAUCCUCCAGGCUUACCAAAUGCAACAGAUCUGGACCUCAAACCCCAGGUCCAAAUAUUGCAGGAUCUCCUUCAGGAAAUAAUCUCACUCCUGUUGGCCCAUGUCGCUAUGACAGCUCUUUAGGUCUGUUGACAAAGAAGUUCAUCAAUUUGAUCAAGCAAGCAGAGGAUGGUAUUCUUGAUUUGAAUAAAGCUGCUGACACAUUAGAGGUACAGAAGAGGAGAAUAUAUGACAUAACAAAUGUUCUCGAAGGGAUUGGCCUUAUAGAAAAGAAACUAAAAAACAGAAUUCAAUGGAAAGGACUUGAUGUUUCAAGACCAGGAGAGCCUGAAGAUAGUUUUUCUAGUUUACAGGCAGAAGUUGAAAACCUUACCAUGAAGGAGUGCCGGUUAGAUGAACAAAUAAGGGAGAUGCAAGAAAGACUAAGUGACCUUAGUGAAAAUGAAAAUAGUGAAAAAUUGCUUUUCGUCACUGAGGAAGAUAUAAAGAACUUGCCCUGCUUCCAGAAUGAAACCUUGAUUGCAAUUAAAGCUCCACAUGGCACCACUCUGGAGGUUUCAGAUCCUGAUGAGGCUGUUGAUUAUCCCCAGAGGAGAUACAGGAUAGUCCUGAGAAGCACCAUGGGCCCAAUAGAUGUUUACCUUGUUAGUCAGUUUGAAGAGAAGUUUGAGGAGAUUAAUGGUGCAGAUGUUGCACCCGAAUUUCAACCGACUCCAGAAUUUAAAAACCAUGAACCAACUGUGGUUGUAGAGGAUAACGGGAGAGACAUUGCAGUGCAGGGACAAGAUGGUCAAAUACCUAGUUCUGAUUUUACUUCUACACAAGACUUUGUGAGUGGGAUCGUGAAAAUUGUUCCUUCAGAUGUUGAUGCAGGAGAAUUCCUAAUUCUGGAAGACGUUUAACUUUCAAUGUUCCACACAAAUCAAGCCGGCAUGUUACUUUGCUGUACGCAUGAAGUUAGCCAUGCUGACUACUGGCUUUUAUCAGAUGCUGAUGUUAGCAUAACAGACAUGUGGAGAACAGAAUCUGGUGUCGAAUGGAAUGAACUGGGUACUCUUCAAGAUGAUUUUUGUACAACUCGCGAGCAUGCUAUAACUCUAACACAUACUUCGAAUGUAAAUGAAGCAUCUACUGCAGCAUCAAACCCUGCUGGGGGCUGAAGCCUCAAAAGGAUAUGUCGUGAAUCUAAAGGGACUGUGUUCUUUGUUUCCGUUGUGAACCUAUGACAUCCAGCUAUCUCUAUCCUCUUCAACAUGGCCCUGGAAGUUGGAUUGUAGGAUCCAAUGAAGAUUUUUCUCCGAGUUUCUCUCCAAGUUCAUCCCAGGAAUUGAGUUCACACGGGCUCAUUGUACAGUUAAUAUUACAUAUUCUAAACGGCCAUGUUCAACAAAACAAGAAAAGGGUCACGAGGCGUUUCCAAAACCCACCCUUAUAUUUUAUUGUAAGCAUUGAUUAGGGGGGUAAAUGGCUUUGUAGUUUGUAUCGUCUAAUGUUUGGUUAGCAAUAUAAUCACACUCCGAGGUACAGAUUCAAAUGUAACCCUGCUCUCAAAUCUAUCCAUUUAUGUAAGUUUCAGUCUCUGCUGUAGU